CGGCCCCUAAAAAGUCCUUCAGA
rnacentral:tRNA from 1 species